UAGGGAAUAUUGGACAAUGGAGGAAACUCUGAUCCAGCCAUGCCGCGUGAUAGAUGAAGGCCCUCUGGGUUGUAAAUAUCUUUUAUCUGGGAAGAAACUCCUCUAUUCUUAGAGGCCUGACGGUACCAGAGGAAUAAGCACCGGCUAACUCCGUGCCAGCAGCCGCGGUAAUACGGAGGGUGCAAGCGUUAUCCGGAUUCACUGGGUUUAAAGGGUGCGUAGGCGGGUUGAUAAGUCAGUGGUGAAAGCUCCGAGCUUAACUUGGAAACUGCCAUUGAUACUGUCAGUCUUGAAUGUCGUAGAGGUAAGCGGAAUGUUGCAUGUAGCGGUGAAAUGCUUAGAUAUGUUACAGAACACCAAUUGCGAAGGCAGCUUACUAUGCGAUGAUUGACGCUGAGGCACGAAAGCGUGGGGAGCAAACAGG
rnacentral:rRNA from 1 species